GUGAGGAAUAUUGGUCAAUGGGCGGGAGCCUGAACCAGCCAAGUCGCGUGAAGGAAGAAGGAUCUAUGGUUCGUAAACUUCUUUUGCAGGGGAAUAAAGUGCAGGACGUGUCCUGUUUUGUAUGUACCCUGAGAAUAAGGAUCGGCUAACUCCGUGCCAGCAGCCGCGGUAAUACGGAGGAUCCGAGCGUUAUCCGGAUUUAUUGGGUUUAAAGGGUGCGUAGGUGGUUUGAUAAGUCAGCGGUGAAAGUUUGCAGCUUAACUGUAAAAAUGCCGUUGAAACUGUAGGACUUGAGUGUAAAUGAGGUAGGCGGAAUGCGUGGUGUAGCGGUGAAAUGCAUAGAUAUCACGCAGAACUCCGAUUGCGAAGGCAGCUUACUAAGCUACAACUGACACUGAAGAACGAAAGCGUGGGGAUCAAACAGGAUUAGAAACCCUGGUAGUCC
rnacentral:rRNA from 1 species